rnacentral:misc_RNA from 1 species
CUUAGUUGCUCCCUUCAAAUGGGAGACUUUGGAUUAUGGCACCAUUUAGUGAUAACAUGAAACAUUUUUGGGGAGUAACAGGGAGGGAUCAAAGAAAUAACCUAUUUAAAGAUGUGUUCAUCACCUAUUAGUGAGAGCAGGAAAUAUAGGUGCUGCUGCUGGUGUGGCGUCAAAUGCUGCCUGCUAUUGUUAGGAAGCCUGAGUUCUCCGAGUUAUAUAGGUUAGGACCGAUUAUUGUUUGGGAUCACAAAAUAUUUUUUGAAUUGUUGAAAUCUUUGGAUCUGGAGACCUUUAACAGGACAGGCGUUAGGUGCGUUAUGAAGUGGGAGACACUGCAGAAAUAUGAAGGAUUUCAGGGAGUGUUUGGUUUAGCUGUUGGAUGCAGCUGAUGGCGGAUGGGUAUCCAAACAGUUGAAUUUAAGUGUUUGGUAAAACUCUAAAAAAUUAGCCGAUAACUGAAAAGUAGCUGAUAGUAUACUUAUCAGCUGCAGAUUCUAUCAGCUCUAAAAUAGGAGCUGUUUAGAACUGCUCUAUAUAUUUUUUUAUUUUUUGAUUAAAAUAUCCCUACUUUAAUAUUUAUGCAGUGUCCUUCACUGUAUUAUCUUCUUGCUCCUAUUUGAAUUAAAAUACCGAUUUCUUUUCAAUAUGUUAUUUUCCUUAUUUUAUUUUCUUGCUUCUAUUUUCAUCGAAGCUGUGAUUUCUUUUCAAUUUCUGUGCCAUCAUUGUGUC